GCAUAUCACUAAGCGGAGGAGAAGAAACUAACCAGGAUGCCCUCAGUAAUGGCGAAUGAAGCGGGCAGAGCUCACGCCGUCAAUCUGGAGGUGUUUUCACCCCCCGAAUUGUAGUCUAGAAAGGCGCGAUCGGCCGCGUCCGCCGCUCAAAUCCCCUGGAACGGGGUAUCGGAGAAGGUGAGAAUCCUGUGCCGUGGCGGUUCGCGGUCGCACGAUGCGUCCUUGCAGAGUCGGGUUGCUUGGGAUUGCAGCUUGAAUUGGGUGGUAAAUUCCAUCUAAAGCUAAAUACUGGCGAGAGACCGAUAGCGAACAAGUACCGUGAGGGAAAGAUGCAAAGAACUUUGAAAAGAGAGUUAAAGAGUGCUUGAAAUCGACAAGGGGAAACCCGUUUGCGCCCGGUUUGUACGCGUGAAUUCAGCCGUCUCCGCGGAGGCGGUGCACUUUGACGCGUCGAGUCAGCGUUUGCUGCGCGGGUGUGAGACGCUGUUUGUUGAGGCUUCGGCGAGGCACUCGGCAUGGCACGCGCGCGGCGAGGGUGACGGAACGGGCGCAACCGACCCGUCUUGAAACACGGACCAAGG
rnacentral:rRNA from 1 species